UCAAGCUACAAAGAGCUCACGGCGGAUACCUUGGCACACAGAGGCGAUGAAGGACGUGGUUACCUGCGAUAAGUCUCGGGGAGCUGGAAACACGCUUUGAUCCGGGAAUUUCCGAAUGGGGCAACCCUUAGAACGGCCAGCUGAAUCCAUAGGCUGGCACGAGCCAACCCAGCGAACUGAAACAUCUUAGUAGCUGGAGGAAAGGAAAGUAAAAACGACUCCCUGAGUAGCGGCGAGCGAACGGGGAAGAGCCUAAACCGAUGGUUUCGACCAUCGGGGUUGUGGGACAGCAAUGUGGAAAAGGGAUGUUAGUGGAAGUGUUUGAAAGACACGCCAAAGAAGGUGAAAGCCCCGUACACGAAAACUGAACUGACCUAGCUGUAUCCCGAGUAGCACGGAGCACGUGAAAUUCCGUGUGAAUCCGCGAGGACCACCUCGUAAGGCUAAGUACUACUGUGUGACCGAUAGCGAAACAGUACCGCGAGGGAAAGGUGAAAAGAACCCCGGGAGGGGAGUGAAAUAGAACAUGAAACCGUGAGCUUACAAGCAAUGGGAGCCCGACUAAUCGGGUGACCGUGUGCCUGUUGAAGAAUGAGCCGGCGACUUAUAGGUACUGGCGGGUUAAACCGGAAAUGGUGGAGCCAUAGCGAAAGCGAGUCUGAAUAGGGCGUUUGUCAGUAUUUAUAGACCCGAACCCGGGUGAUCUAACCAUGGCCAGGAUGAAGCUUGGGUGAUACCAAGUGGAGGUCCCAACCAACUGACGUUGAAAAGUCACUGGAUGAGCUGUGGUUAGCGGUGAAAUGCCAAUCGAACCCGGAGCUAGCUGGUUCUCCCCGAAAUACGUUGAGGCGUAGCGUCUCGUGCUCCAGCAGGGGGGUAAAGCCACCAUUUCGGUGCGGGCUGCGAGAGCGGUACCAAAUCGAGAUGAACUCUGAAUACCCUGUGUGUAGCGAGGCAGUCAGACUGUGGGGGAUAAGCUCCAUGGUCGAGAGGGAAACAGCCCAGACCGCCAGCUAAGGUCCCCAAAUCAACGCUAAGUGAUAAAGGAGGUGGGAUUGCCCAGACAACCAGGAGGUUUGCCUAGAAGCAGCCAUCCUCAAAGGAGUGCGUAAUAGCUCACUGGUCGAGCGAUCCUGCGCCGAAAAUGAACGGGGCUAAGCGUUGUACCGAAGCUGCGGAUUUAUGGUAGGGGAGCGUUCUAUGUGGGGCGAAGCGUUAGCGUGAGCGGGCGUGGACUGCAUAGAAGUGAGAAUGUCGGCUUGAGUAGCGAAAACAUGGGUGAGAAUCCCAUGCACCGAAACCCUAAGGGUUCCUCCGGCAGGCUCGUCCGCGGAGGGUUAGUCUGGUCCUAAGGUCAGGCCGAAAGGCGUAGUCGAUGGAUAACAGGUCAACAUUCCUGUACCGGUUAUGUUUUGGGAAGAGGGACGGAGAAGGCUAGCCGAGCCAGACGUUGGUUACUGGUUCAAGCGUUCGAGGCUAUGAGGAGCGGCGAAAACGUUCCGAGCUGAGGCGUGAGUACGAGCUGCUACGGCAGCGAAGUCGGUGAUGUCAUGCUUCCAAGAAAAGCUCUAUACCCGUUAAGGCAUAACUGCCAGUACCCGAAACCGACACAGGUGGGGUGGUAGAGAAUACCGAGGUGCGCGAGGUAACUCUCUCUAAGGAACUCGGCAAAUUAGCCCCGUAACUUCGGGAGAAGGGGUGCCACCGCAAGGUGGUCGCAGUGAAAAGGCCCUGGCGACUGUUUACCAAAAACACAGGUCUCCGCUAAGUCGCAAGACGAUGUAUGGGGGCUGACGCCUGCCCAGUGCCGGAAGGUUAAGGAAGCCGGUCAGCGUAAGCGAAGCUGGCGACUGAAGCCCCGGUGAACGGCGGCCGUAACUAUAACGGUCCUAAGGUAGCGAAAUUCCUUGUCGGGUAAGUUCCGACC
rnacentral:rRNA from 1 species